rnacentral:misc_RNA from 1 species
GAUGAAGAACGCAGCGAAAUGCGAUAAGUAGUGUGAAUUGCAGUAUUCAGUGAAUCAUCGAAUCUUUGAACGCACAUUGCGCCUUCUAGUAUUCUGGGAGGCAUGCCUGUUUGAGCGUCAUUAAACCUCUCUCGAGUAUGAUUACUUGGAUGUGAAGGAAGAGUACCUUAAACUUAAGGAGUGUUCUCCUUUGAAAUUGAUUAGCAGAUGGUAAUGUUAUUAAAUCCCUGAUGUUGUAAGAAAUAACAGUGGUUUUGUAGACUAUUAUCUAGCUUUAAAUUAUAAUUUUUAUUAUGGUUGACCUCAAAUCAGGUAAGGAUACCCGCUGAACUUAAGCAUAUCAAUAAGCGGAGGA